ACCAAAACACUUCAAGCAACAGGUGGAAUCCAAAAACACUCUCUCAUCCCAAAUCACAUAGAACAAAACCCUACUGCACUUAUCCUCUCUUCACGGUAAGUUUGCUGAUAAUUUGUCUAUAUUUUUUACUCUAGAUAUAUCAUAUCAAGACGCUAAGAAAGGAAACGCAAAGUCGCUUUUGAUCACCUAAGCAAGCAAAUUGCAACCGAUGUGGCGGUGGUUAAUUAUUCCGGCGGACUAGUCAAGACGGGCCUUGAUCCAUUGGUUAUUGAUUGAUUUCCUAUAUUUUCAUAUAAGCUAAGCGAUCAGAAAUAACUUGAUCAAGGUGAAGCAAGAGAAAUAAAGUGCUUUGUUUGUUUGGUUACUGUAGUGGAAGAUGCCAUUGUUAGGAUUUUGGCAAAUUAUAGCACAUGUUUCAUGUAAAGUGGUGUAUUGAUACAUGGCUUGAGUCAAAUGCUACUUGUCCUUUCGAUGGAUGGUUACUAUUAGAGAUAGAUCAUCAAGGACCUGAAGCUGUGGAGAGGAGAUUUGUGCAUCAGAAGCAAUCUCCUUAGCGGACUUAUUUUAUCAAGUUCUCAAGACUGUCUUUGCCCUUUCUGCGGUUCUGACUUCUGAGAUUGAGUCUGCUAUUCGUCUCCUCCCGCUAUGUUCUUUUGCUAUCAAGGUUCGGGAGGGUGUGUUGCAAUGGAGGAAUGAGAGCUGGGUGUUACUCGGUGUCAAAGUAUCGUGAAAAAAAAGUUAGCUCUCUUUCCUGGAAUUCUUUAGUGGGUGUUACUCUGUGGUCGGUAUGGUUGGCGAGGAAUAAAGCGAUUUCAGUAGUGAGAUUAAGAGGGCGGAAGAGGAGGUGGAUUUGAUUAAAGCUAGAAGUUUCAAAUUAUUAAAAGCCAAAGAUAAGUUGGGUUCCUUUAAUCUGGGUAUUCGAUUUGCGUUUCUAGUAGAGGUCCGUACGUCAGGUCGUGCGAUUGGCAGAAAGUCAUCAGUUUCGAUUAAGGAGGCUUUUUGGAUUAAUGCGACAAUAGUUUGGAUAAAGUUCAAUACCGAUGGAUCCUCUCUAGGUAAGCCGGGACCUACAGGUGUUGGUGGUAUGUUGUGAGAAAGUUCAGGUUUUGUGAAGUGUAUUUUCUUGCAUUUAGGGAUUAUUGACUCUAAUGAAGCUGAAAUUCUAGCUAUUUUUACAGCCGUUGAAUUUUAUUGGCAGUCGGCUUUUAGGGUAUGUGCAAUCGUGGAAUCUGAUUCCAAAAAUGCAUUAUGUUGGAUUUUGCAAAAACAUAAUAGAACUUGGAUAUUGUGGGAAAAAUUUAACAAGUUUGAUUAUAUCGUGGAUCAACUUAAGGAGGUUCAGUUUGUUUUCGUCCAGAGAAAUGGGAAUUACUUUGCUGACAGUCUAGCGAAAAAAGGACUGGUUGUUGCGUAUCCGUUCUUAGCAUGGAUUUAAUUUUGUUGCGGUCUGUAUUUCGUGCCAGUUGUGCUGAUGCUUAGUCUCAAGUCUGCUUCUAAGCUUUGGGUUUGCUUUCUUAUUGUGUUUUUUCUUGGUGUGUUUUGUUGUUACUGUAAGUUUCAUUCUCUUACCUUAAGAGAAGUUUUUGCAGCUGUCGGCAAUUUUUUAUUUUUGUGUCUUUUGUCUUUGGUUUUUCUGCAGUUUUUUUAUUCUUGGUUUGGGUUUUCUUAUCAAUCAGGAGUUAGGGUGGGUGUUUUGGGUUAGCCUAUUGACUAGAGAUUAGUUCUCAGAUUUCUUUUUCAAUCCUUUAAUAACAUUUUUGCAUUGUUGAUAAAAAAAAAA